UGGGGAAUAUUGGACAAUGGGCGGAAGCCUGAUCCAGCCAUGCCGCGUGUGUGAAGAAGGCCUUUUGGUUGUAAAGCACUUUAAGCGAGGAGGAGGCUACUUGGAUUAAUACUCUAGGAUAGUGGACGUUACUCGCAGAAUAAGCACCGGCUAACUCUGUGCCAGCAGCCGCGGUAAUACAGAGGGUGCGAGCGUUAAUCGGAUUUACUGGGCGUAAAGCGUGCGUAGGCGGCUUCUUAAGUCGGAUGUGAAAUCCCUGAGCUUAACUUAGGAAUUGCAUUCGAUACUGGGAAGCUAGAGUAUGGGGGAGGAUGGUAGAAUUCCAGGUGUAGCGGUGAAAUGCGUAGAGAUCUGGAGGAAUACCGAUGGCGAAGGCAGCCAUCUGGCCUAAUACUGACGCUGAGGUACGAAAGCAUGGGGAGCAAACAGG
rnacentral:rRNA from 2 species